rnacentral:rRNA from 1 species
UACGUAGGGUGCAAGCGUUGUCCGGAAUUAUUGGGCGUAAAGAGCUCGUAGGCGGCUUGUUGCGUCGGCUGUGAAAUCCCGAGGCUCAACCUCGGGUCUGCAGUCGAUACGAGCAAACUAGAGUGUUGCAGGGGAGACUGGAAUUCCUGGUGUAGCGGUGAAAUGCGCAGAUAUCAGGAGGAACACCGGUGGCGAAGGCGGGUCUCUGGGCCGUAACUGACGCUGAGGAGCGAAAGCGUGGGGAGCGAACAGG